GAGCAGGUGAAGGUGCGGGACGAGGACGAAAAGUCGCGGGUGUCGGAGCAGGGGCUGCUGGAG
rnacentral:ribozyme from 1 species